rnacentral:sRNA from 2 species
CCGUGCAGCCCAUUUGUGGGCGUUUCCUCCCUGACUUGGGCCGCUCCUUCGGGAGUGGCCUUUUUCUCAUUACGU